CCUGAGUCUACAGGCAGCUGAAUUAGGCUCAGCUGGGCAUGCAAGUCCUCCCGCUUGGACACUUCCUAUAGUGGAAGUGAUCGGUGCAGCCGGACAGGAGAGGGAGGCGCACACAGGAAAAGAGGCACAGAGAGAGUGAGAUGAGAAGAUCGCUGACAACUGUGUGGAAGCAGGGGGGAUACAGCUAGCCUGGCGCUGUCUAAAGUGUAAGACAGGAUGCAAAGUCUCUCACUCUCCCUCUGCCUACCUGAAGAUGAAGAUAAAGAGCAUGAGCAGCAUGCAGAAGGUGGCCACGUUGUCCAUGGUCUUCAUCAGCACCACCAACUGCCUCUGCAGGG